rnacentral:lncRNA from 1 species
GGCACCGGCGGGGCGACGGGCAGUGGACGCUGCUGCUGCGGCCGAGCCAGUAGAACCUCCGGAGCAGGGAGUCGCCGCGGCGUCGGCAGGCGGCGCUAUGUACAUGCGCGUGCAGCGAGUCCGCCGGCGACACCUCUGAGUCGAGGCCGCCGGCGGACGAGGACACGGAGUGGCUGCCCCCGUUGAUCCGGACCGCGGUGCCGCCCUGCGGCCGGGCGCUCGCUCCGGCGUCCGUCUCCCUCC